AUAGAACGCUGGCGGCAGGCCUAACACAUGCAAGUCGAGCGAGCGGCGGACGGGGGAGAAAUGUCCGGGAAACGGACCGACGGAGGGCGAUAACUACUGGAAACGGUAGCUAAUACCGCAUACCAUCAGAAGUGCCCAGAUGGGAUUAGCUAGUAGGUGGUGUAAUGGCUCACCUAGGCGACGAUCCCUAGCUGGUCUGAGAGGAUGACCAGCCCAACUGGAACUGGUACACGGUCCAGACGCCUACGGUAGGCAGCAGUGGGGAUUGUUUCACAAUGAGCGCAGGCCUGAUGCCGCCAGGCCGCGUGUGUGAGGUCGGCCUUCGGGUUGUAGGGCACUUUCAGCAGGGAGGCGUUCCCCGGACACGAAGCCCCGGCUAACUCCAUGCCAGCCGCCGCGGUAAUAC
rnacentral:rRNA from 1 species